rnacentral:rRNA from 1 species
AGCGACCGGUGCUUGCACUGGUCAAUCUAGUGGCGAACGGGUGAGUAACACGUGGGUAACCUGCCCAUCAGAGGGGGAUAACAUUCGGAAACGGAUGCUAAAACCGCAUAGGUCUUCGAACCGCAUGGUUUGAAGAGGAAAAGAGGCGCAAGCUUCUGCUGAUGGAUGGACCCGCGGUGCAUUAGCUAGUUGGUGAGGUAACGGCUCACCAAGGCCGUGAUGCAUAGCCGACCUGAGAGGGUGAUCGGCCACAUUGGGACUGAGACACGGCCCAAACUCCUACGGGAGGCAGCAGUAGGGAAUCUUCCGCAAUGGACGCAAAUCUGACGGAGCAACGCCGCGUGAGUGAAGAAGGUUUUCGGAUCGUAAAACUCUGUUGUUAGAGAAGAACAAGUGCUAGAGUAACUGUUAGCGCCUUGACGGUAUCUAACCAGAAAGCCACGGCUAACUACGUGCCAGCAGCCGCGGUAAUACGUAGGUGGCAAGCGUUGUCCGGAUUUAUUGGGCGUAAAGCGAGCGCAGGCGGUUCCUUAAGUCUGAUGUGAAAGCCCCCGGCUCAACCGGGGAGGGUCAUUGGAAACUGGGGAACUUGAGUGCAGAAGAGGAGAGUGGAAUUCCAUGUGUAGCGGUGAAAUGCGUAGAUAUAUGGAGGAACACCAGUGGCGAAGGCGACUCUCUGGUCUGUAACUGACGCUGAGGCUCGAAAGCGUGGGUAGCAAACAGGAUUAGAUAACCUGGUAGUCCACGCCGUAAACGAUGAGUGCUAAGUGUUGGAGGGUUUCCGCCCUUCAGUGCUGCAG